rnacentral:hammerhead_ribozyme from 1 species
ACACUGCUGAGGAGUCCCACGACAAGACGAAACAGCUGUCCAGUGC